rnacentral:rRNA from 1 species
UACGAAGGGGGCGAGCGUUAUUCGGAAUCACUGGGCGUAAAGCGUGCGUAGGCGGUUUUGUAAGUUAGGAGUGAAAGCCCAGGGCUCAACCCUGGAAUUGCUCAUAAAACUACAAGACUCGGAUUCGGGAGAGGAUAGCGGAAUUGUCAGUGUAGCAGUGAAAUGCGUAGAUAUUGACAGGAACACCAGUGGCGCAAGCGGCUACCUGGACCGACAUCGACGCUGAGGCACGAAAGCGUGGGGAUCAAACAGG